rnacentral:rRNA from 1 species
UGUGAGCUCGAUGAGUAGGGCGGGACACGUGGUAUCCUGUCUGAAUAUGGGGGGACCAUCCUCCAAGGCUAAAUACUCCUGACUGACCGAUAGUGAACCAGUACCGUGAGGGAAAGGCGAAAAGAACCCCGGCGAGGGGAGUGAAAAAGAACCUGAAACCGUGUACGUACAAGCAGUGGGAGCACGCUUCGGCGUGUGACUGCGUACCUUUUGUAUAAUGGGUCAGCGACUUAUAUUCUGUAGCAAGGUUAACCGAAUAGGGGAGCCGAAGGGAAACCGAGUCUUAACUGGGCGUUAAGUUGCAGGGUAUAGACCCGAAACCCGGUGAUCUAGCCAUGGGCAGGUUGAAGGUUGGGUAACACUAACUGGAGGACCGAACCGACUAAUGUUGAAAAAUUAGCGGAUGACUUGUGGCUGGGGGUGAAAGGCCAAUCAAACCGGGAGAUAGCUGGUUCUCCCCGAAAGCUAUUUAGGUAGCGCCUCGUGAAUUCAUCUCCGGGGGUAGAGCACUGUUUCGGCAAGGGGGUCAUCCCGACUUACCAACCCGAUGCAAACUGCGAAUACCGGAGAAUGUUAUCACGGGAGACACACGGCGGGUGCUAACGUCCGUCGUGAAGAGGGAAACAACCCAGACCGCCAGCUAAGGUCCCAAAGUCAUGGUUAAGUGGGAAACGAUGUGGGAAGGCCCAGACAGCCAGGAUGUUGGCUUAGAAGCAGCCAUCAUUUAAAGAAAGCGUAAUAGCUCACUGGUCGAGUCGGCCUGCGCGGAAGAUGUAACGGGGCUAAACCAUGCACCGAAGCUGCGGCAGCGACGCUGAUGCGUUGUUGGGUAGGGGAGCGUUCUGUAAGCCUGCGAAGGUGUGCUGUGAGGCAUGCUGGAGGUAUCAGAAGUGCGAAUGCUGACAUAAGUAACGAUAAAGCGGGUGAAAAGCCCGCUCGCCGGAAGACCAAGGGUUCCUGUCCAACGUUAAUCGGGGCAGGGUGAGUCGACCCCUAAGGCGAGGCCGAAAGGCGUAGUCGAUGGGAAACAGGUUAAUAUUCCUGUACUUGGUGUUACUGCGAAGGGGGGACGGAGAAGGCUAUGUUGGCCGGGCGACGGUUGUCCCGGUUUAAGCGUGUAGGCUGGUUUUCCAGGCAAAUCCGGAAAAUCAAGGCUGAGGCGUGAUGACGAGGCACUACGGUGCUGAAGCAACAAAUGCCCUGCUUCCAGGAAAAGCCUCUAAGCAUCAGGUAACAUCAAAUCGUACCCCAAACCGACACAGGUGGUCAGGUAGAGAAUACCAAGGCGCUUGAGAGAACUCGGGUGAAGGAACUAGGCAAAAUGGUGCCGUAACUUCGGGAGAAGGCACGCUGAUAUGUAGGUGAGGUCCCUCGCGGAUGGAGCUGAAAUCAGUCGAAGAUACCAGCUGGCUGCAACUGUUUAUUAAAAACACAGCACUGUGCAAACACGAAAGUGGACGUAUACGGUGUGACGCCUGCCCGGUGCCGGAAGGUUAAUUGAUGGGGUCAGCGCAAGCGAAGCUCUUGAUCGAAGCCCCGGUAAACGGCGGCCGUAACUAUAACGGUCCUAAGGUAGCGAAAUUCCUUGUCGGGUAAGUUCCGACCUGCACGAAUGGCGUAAUGAUGGCCAGGCUGUCUCCACCCGAGACUCAGUGAAAUUGAACUCGCUGUGAAGAUGCAGUGUACCCGCGGCAAGACGGAAAGACCCCGUGAACCUUUACUAUAGCUUGACACUGAACAUUGAGCCUUGAUGUGUAGGAUAGGUGGGAGGCUUGGAAGUGUGGACGCCAGUCUGCAUGGAGCCGACCUUGAAAUACCACCCUUUAAUGUUUGAUGUUCUAACGUUGACCCGUAAUCCGGGUUGCGGACAGUGUCUGGUGGGUAGUUUGACUGGGGCGGUCUCCUCCUAAAGAGUAACGGAGGAGCACGAAGGUUGGCUAAUCCUGGUCGGACAUCAGGAGGUUAGUGCAAUGGCAUAAGCCAGCUUGACUGCGAGCGUGACGGCGCGAGCAGGUGCGAAAGCAGGUCAUAGUGAUCCGGUGGUUCUGAAUGGAAGGGCCAUCGCUCAACGGAUAAAAGGUACUCCGGGGAUAACAGGCUGAUACCGCCCAAGAGUUCAUAUCGACGGCGGUGUUUGGCACCUCGAUGUCGGCUCAUCACAUCCUGGGGCUGAAGUAGGUCCCAAGGGUAUGGCUGUUCGCCAUUUAAAGUGGUACGCGAGCUGGGUUUAGAACGUCGUGAGACAGUUCGGUCCCUAUCUGCCGUGGGCGCUGGAGAACUGAGGGGGGCUGCUCCUAGUACGAGAGGACCGGAGUGGACGCAUCACUGGUGUUCGGGUUGUCAUGCCAAUGGCACUGCCCGGUAGCUAAAUGCGGAAGAGAUAAGUGCUGAAAGCAUCUAAGCACGAAACUUGCCCCGAGAUGAGUUCU